GCAAGCCAAGUGCCUAACUGGGAAGCAGCACAGAGCCCAGACAGUGACACCGGAGUGGGCCUCACCUGGCGGCCCCAGAGCUUGCGGAAGAUCUGGAAAUAGGCCAUGGCCAUGAGGCCCAGCGGUGCCAGACCGUGGCCCGCCAGGCUCCUCUGUCCAUGGGAUUCUCCAUGGCAAGAGUACUCCAGAGAAUGCUGUGCCCUCCUACAGGGGAUCUUCCCAGCCCAGGGAUCGAACCCAGAUCUCCCUCAUUACAGGCAGAUUCUUCGCCAUCUGAACCACAAGGGAAGCCUUACUGCCAGGGUAGAUUUGAUCAAAUCACUUACCCUCUCUGAGCCUCAUCUGCAGAAUGAGAAUAUAUCAUCCU